UUCCACCUCUCUGGUCUUAGGAUGAUGUCAAAGCAAUGUGGGGGAGAAAUGUCAUCUACAUUUCAAACUUUUACAGGGAGCUCCCAAUGUGAAAACAGCCCCUAUUGAUGUACGUCUGGAAUUAUAGAUAAUUUAUCUUAGAGAGUUGCCUACAGACACGUAGCCAAAAUGUUCCAGAGGAAACACUUAAACUCAGAUCUCCUUAACUCUCAGGGGAAAUGGACAAGACAAUGUGGAAGAUCUACAGAAACCAAGCCCCUUUACUGGAAAAACAACCAAAGUACACAUACCCCUCCUGCCCAGACGUGUGCGGCAUUUCAAAUUACACAGGCACAUUUGUAGACUCAGAGACUCCAGACUAAAAGAUCUUCCUUCCCAUUAGCUUCUCCUUCUGUUUAUCAGCUAAACAAAAAUAUUUCUGCAAAUAUUGGUAAUCGAUCAAAUUAUUUGUUCGUUAAUUGCAAGAAAUGUUAUAGCUGCCAUCUCUGUGGAAUUAGCUUUCUUAAUAACAUUUUCAUU